GAUGAACGCUGGCGGCGUGCCUAAUACUUGCAAGUCGAGCGAACAGAUAAGAAGCUUGCUUCUCUGAUGUUAGCGGCGGACGGGUGAGUGACACGUGGGUAACCUACCUAUAAGACUGGGAUAACUCCGGGAAACCGGGGCUAAUACCGGAUAAUAUUUUGAACCGCAUGGUUCAAUAGUGAAAGACGGUUUCGGCUGUCACUUAUAGAUGGACCCGCGCCGUAUUAGCUAGUUGGUAAGGUAACGGCUUACCAAGGCGACGAUACGUAGCCGACCUGAGAGGGUGAUCGGCCACACUGGAACUGAGACACGGUCCAGACUCCUACGGGAGGCAGCAGUAGGGAAUCUUCCGCAAUGGGCGAAAGCCUGACGGAGCAACGCCGCGUGAGUGAUGAAGGUCUUCGGAUCGUAAAACUCUGUUGUUAGGGAAGAACAAAUUUGUUAGUCACUGAACAAGUCUUGACGGUACCUAACCAGAAAGCCACGGCUAACUACGUGCCAGCAGCCGCAGUAA
rnacentral:rRNA from 1 species